GAUGAACGCUGGCGGCGUGCCUAAUACAUGCAAGUCGAGCGAACGGACGAGAAGCUUGCUUCUCUGAUGUUAGCGGCGGACGGGUGAGUAACACGUGGAUAACCUACCUAUAAGACUGGGAUAACUUCGGGAAACCGUAGCUAAUACCGGAUAAUAUUUUGAACCGCAUGGUUCAAAAGUGAAAUACGGUCUUGCUGUCACUUAUAGAUGGAUCCGCGCUGCAUUAGCUAGUUGGUAAGGUAACGGCUUACCAAGGCAACGAUGCAUAGCCGACCUGAGAGGGUGAUCGGCCACACUGGAACUGAGACACGGUCCAGACUCCGACGGGAGGCAGCAGUAGGGAAUCUUCCGCAAUGGGCGAAAGCCUGACGGAGCAACUCCGCGUGAGUGAUGAAGGUCUUCGGAUCGUAAAACUCUGUUAUUAGGGAAGAACAUAUGUGUAAGUAACUGUGCACAUCUUGACGGUACCUAAUCAGAAAGCCACGGCUAACUACGUG
rnacentral:rRNA from 1 species